UACAGGGGGGGCAAGCGUUUGUUCGGAAUUACUGGGCGUAAAGGGUUCGUAGGUGGCCACUUAAGUCAGACGUGAAAUCCCUCAGCUUAACUGGGGAACUGCGUCUGAUACUGAGUGGCUUGAGUGCAGGAGAGGAAUGCGGAAUUCCGGGUGUAGUGGUGAAAUGCGUAGAGAUCCGGAGGAACACCUGUGGCGAAGGCGGCCCCUGGGCCCGCACCUGACGCUGAGACGCGAAAGCGCGGGGAGCGAACGGG
rnacentral:rRNA from 1 species